UACGUAGGGUGCGAGCGCUGUCCGGAAUUAUUGGGCGUAAAGGGCUCGUAGGCGGUCUGUCGCGUCGGGAGUGAAAACUCAGGGCUUAACCCUGAGCCUGCUUCCGAUACGGGCAGACUAGAGGUAUGCAGGGGAGAACGGAAUUCCUGGUGUAGCGGUGAAAUGCGCAGAUAUCAGGAGGAACACCGGUGGCGAAGGCGGUUCUCUGGGCAUUACCUGACGCUGAGGAGCGAAAGUGUGGGGAGCGAACAGG
rnacentral:rRNA from 1 species